UACGUAGGGGGCAAGCGUUGUCCGGAAUCACUGGGCGUAAAGCGCGCGCAGGCGGCGAUCUACGUCCGGGGUGAAAGCCCAGAGCUCAACUCUGGGACUGCCUUGGAUACGGGAUCGCUUGAGGAUCGGAGAGGCAAGGGGAAUUCCACGUGUAGCGGUGAAAUGCGUAGAGAUGUGGAGGAACACCUGUGGCGAAGGCGGGUCUCUGGGCCGAUACUGACGCUGAGGAGCGAAAGCGUGGGGAGCGAACAGG
rnacentral:rRNA from 1 species